GAGUUUGAUCGUGGCUCAGGAUGAACGCUAGCGGCAGGCUUAACACAUGCAAGUCGAGGGGUAGAGGAAGCUUGCUUCCUUGAGACCGGCGCACGGGUGCGUAACGCGUAUGCAAUCUACCUUGUGCAGGGGGAUAGCCCAGAGAAAUUUGGAUUAAUACCCCAUAGUGUAAUGAAAUGGCAUCAUUUUAUUACUAAAGUUCCAACGGUACAAGAUGAGCAUGCGUCCCAUUAGCUAGUUGGUGUGGUAACGGCAUACCAAGGCAACGAUGGGUAGGGGUCCUGAGAGGGAGAUCCCCCACACUGGUACUGAGACACGGACCAGACUCCUACGGGAGGCAGCAGUGAGGAAUAUUGGUCAAUGGGCGCAAGCCUGAACCAGCCAUGCCGCGUGCAGGAUGACGGUCCUAUGGAUUGUAAACUGCUUUUGUACAGGAAGAAACACUCCCUCGUGAGGGAACUUGACGGUACUGU
rnacentral:rRNA from 1 species